UAUGGGUCAGUGAUGAUGAGAACUACCUAUUUUAUGAUCUUCUUGUGAUUAUAAAACACCAAUGGAUCCUUCUGAGACCUCUA
rfam:Populus trichocarpa isolate Nisqually-1 chromosome 14, whole genome shotgun sequence.